rnacentral:rRNA from 1 species
AUUGAACGCUGGCGGCAGGCCUAACACAUGCAAGUCGAACGAGUGGGGACGGGUGAGUAACACGUGGGUAACCUCCCAUCAGAGGGGAUAACACUUGGAAACAGGUGCUAAACCGAUACUGAUGGAUGGACCCGCGGUGCAUUAGCUAGUUGGUGAGGUAACGGCUCACCAAGGCCACGAUGCAUAGCCGAUCUGAGAGGGUGGUCGGCCACACCGGGACGUAGACACGGCCCAGACUCCUACGGGAGGCAGCAGUAGGGAAUCUUCGGCAAUGGACGAAAGUCUGACCGAGCAACGCCGCGUGAGUGAAGAAGGUUUUCGGAUCGUAAAACUCUGUUGUUAGAGAAGCGGUAUCUAACCAGAAAGCCACGGCUAACUCCGUGCCAGCCGCCGCGGUAAUUC